rnacentral:rRNA from 1 species
CAGCCGCCACGGUAAUACGUAGGUGGCAAGCGUUGUCCGGAAUUAUUGGGCGUAAAGCGCGCGCAGGCGGCCUAUCCAGUCUGUCUUAAAAGUUCGGGGCUCAACCCCGUGAUGGGAUGGAAACUAGUAGGCUAGAGUAUCGGAGAGGAAAGCGGAAUUCCUAGUGUAGCGGUGAAAUGCGUAGAUAUUAGGAAGAACACCAGUGGCGAAGGCGGCUUUCUGGACGAAAACUGACGCUGAGGCGCGAAAGCUAGGGGAGCGAACGAGAUUAGAUACCCCGGUAGUCCCUGUCUCUUAUACA